UGGCUUGUGGCUCAGUGGUAAAGCGUUUGCCUCACAUGUGAAAGGCACUGGGUUCAAUUCUCAGCACCACAG
rnacentral:tRNA from 1 species